UCGCCGCCCUCGUCAUCCUCCCCAAAGGAAUCGACCUAGAUGUUUCUCAAUCGCCCCCAAAUUCGCCGUUCCCCUCUCAGACUCCGGCGAGAAAACCAUCAAUUCCGGCCAUCUCCGACCUCCUCCGCCGUUUUCGAGCACACCAUCACAUUCCUGGUUCUCGUCGUUGGCCAACCUCUGGUGGUUCCCCGGACUCCGCGCCGCCCGUUUAUGGUGUGCAGCGAUAGGGCGCAUCUCCCGCGUGCAGUGCCUCGUCUCAGUUCGGCCGUCUCCAUCGUCCCCGUGCUCAACAUGGAUCUCCUCCGCCAUGACCGUUCUGUCCCAGAACCUCCGCCAUGGUCUGGUUCAAAAGAUUUCGUUUCUGGUUGCCCCUUUAAGAUCUCGCUUCCAUAUCGUUCAACAAAGGUAGCACCAGCGCAGUGGCAGUCUAAUCAUGUGACAAACCCGGCGACCCAGGAUCAAAUCCUUUGGGCCUCCUCUUUUUGCUGAGAAUUUCUACCUAUGUUCCACCGAAGUGGGCCUCCAUCCAGCGGGCCAAUUCAUCGCUUGCAAGCGACUGAUCGCUAUCCGUCG